GUGCUUGCUUCAGCAGCACAUACACUAAAAUUGGAAUGAUGCAGAGAAGAUUAGCAUGACCCUUGCACAAGGAUGACACGCAAAUUCGUGAGGCAUGCCAUAUUUUU